rnacentral:lncRNA from 1 species
AGUGAUGGGGCUCCCUUUGGCAGUAAGAAAUCCCCUCUCACGCCAGAUGGAAGAAUGUGAUAUGCACAUUUGGAGUCUGUCUUUCUUGGGGAAGAAAACACAUGCACAAAUCCUGGUGUAAGGAAUAUUUUAAGCAUAUAUCUUCAAUAUCAUUCAUCCAGGACCGAGCAAGACCAACACUCUUCCUCCUCCUCUGCCUACUCAAUGUGAAGACAAUGAGGAUGAACACCUUUAUGAUGCUCCACUUCCACUUAUUGAAUAGUGCUACACAUGAAACUUGUAACCAGUUACUACAGGCGAAAGCAAAUCCAUGUCUUCAGGCUGGUGUCAUCAGGGAGAGAAGCUUUGGUUUCCACAUAAGGAUAUAAGAUCAUUGAUGUAAAACAAGACAUGUAACCUCUCAAAUUGAGAGAAUGGAUUGGAGAGAUAUUGUUGACCAUGUUUUCCCCUGUAUCUCACCUUCCCCUCUCCAAGACUUCCUUGUCAGUUACCCAUAUUGAUAUCAGUUUAUCCACAUCCAUGCUUUCAAGUUUAAACAAAGAAACUAGGCAAAGGCAGCUAUGUAUUCGCUAGGAUUAGGGAGGAGAAGAUAAUGAACCACUGGAUAGUGAGAAGAAAGAGAGGUGGAGAAAGUGAGAGACCCCAGUAACAGAGGACAGGGACACAUUGCUAAGGAUAGGGACACAUUCACUGUAAUAUAGAAGGCCAUGCUUAUAUGUAAAAUAUGCAGUAAUUGUAUAUAUAUGUACAAAAGUGAUGACACACAUAUGCACAUAAACAAAACACAAUUACUGUCUAUGUUUCUUUAUUUGUGACCUAAUGUUUUAUGUUGUUUGUAACUGAAAAAAAAAUUCCCUUCUGAAUAAAAUGUCAAUUUUGCGAUUGCA